rnacentral:rRNA from 1 species
GUCCUUUUGAAUUUUAUAGAAGGUCUGACCUGCCCAGUGAUAAUUUUAACGGCCGCGGUAUACUGACCGUGCAAAGGUAGCAUAAUCAUUAGUCUUUUAAUAGAGGGCUGGAAUGAAAGGUUUAACGAGGAAUUGACUGUCUCAUUUUAUUUGUUUUAGAAUUUAAUUUUUUAGUCAAAAAGCUAAAAUCUUAUUGGAAGACGAGAAGACCCUAUAGAUCUUUAUAAAACUUUAUUUAAUUAUUUUUAUAUUAUUUUAUUUAAAUGAUUUUUUAUUUUGUUGGGGUGACAAAAAUAUAUGUAAAACUUUUUUAUUUAUUUAACAUUAAUUUAUGAUUAUUAGAUCCAUUAUUAGUGAUUGAUAGACUAAGUUACCUUAGGGAUAACAGCGUAAUCCUCCUCCAGAGUUCAUAUUUACGGGAUGGGCUUGCGACCUCGAUGUUGGAUUAAGAUGAUAGUUAGGUGUAGCCGCUUAAUUUAUAGGUCUGUUCGACCUUUAAACUCUU